GGAAGCAGGUCAAUAUUCCUGCACCAUUGUUAGAUGCGAUGGGGGGACGGAUCGCGGAAGGUUGUCCGGGUGUUGGAAGUCCCGGUCGCUGCAUUGGAGAAGGCGCUUAGGCAAAUCCGGGCGCGUAAUUCAAGGGUGUGGCGCGAGCUCCUUCGGGAGCGAAGCAAUUGGAAGUGGUUCCAAGAAAAGCCUCUAAGCUUCAGU
rnacentral:rRNA from 1 species